CAGCCGCCGCGGGAAAACGGAGGGUGCAAGCGUUAUCCGGAUUUAUUGGGUUUAAAGGGUACGUAGGCGGAUCUGUAAGUCAGUGGUGAAAUCUCACAGCUUAACUGUGAAACUGCCAUUGAUACUGCAGGUCUUGAGUAAAUUUGAAGUGGCUGGAAUAAGUAGUGUAGCGGUGAAAUGCAUAGAUAUUACUUAGAACACCAAUUGCGAAGGCAGGUCACUAAGAUUUAACUGACGCUGAUGGACGAAAGCGUGGGGAGCGAACAGGAUUAGAUACCCCCGUAGUCCCUGUCUCUUAUAC
rnacentral:rRNA from 1 species